UCCGCUCAGUAUGGCAUGACGGAGAUACCUACAGCAUGUGUGCUGAAAAGAUCUUCUGGGACCUGGGAAGUAAUCUAAUGUCAUUCUUCUCCUGUGGCGAAGACGAAUAACAAUAUUUAGCUGGAAUUCUAUGCAGGAACAUAGAGACGUUGUGAUUAGAGCGACCAUUAUGAAUUGUUCCAUCAUUCAAAGCGGUUCUUCUGCCAGAGCAGGUGUCUGGAGUCGUGGCAGGGAGCCCAGAGUCAAGGUGCUCAUUUUUGAUUUGUACCUGGUGUGUCAUUUUCUGCACUUAAGGUCGGCCGCACUCACCAGGAUAGCCUUGGAGUCCAUAGGCUUGCCACUUGCUGACUGGCUGAAGUCCUGCUCUAUGUGCAUCGUGGUCACUGACGGAAGAUACACUCAGCUGAGAUCUAACCACCUGGCAGGAA